GAUGAACGCUGGCGGCAUGCCUAACACAUGCAAGUCGAGCGAAAAGACGCCUAGGGUGCCUCACUAGUGGUAGAGGCGGGAGUGUGGGAUACAAGCGUACACCCAACCUGGGAGACUCGGAUAAAAUCCGGAGCCAGGACCUAAUAUCGUAUAAGAUUUUGAGCCGCGUGGCUAAAAACUGUAAUAGGGUCCUGCUGUCACUUAUAGCUGGAUCCGGGUUGCAUUAGCUAGUUGGUAAGGUAAUGGCCUACCAAGGCAACGAUGCAUAGCUGACCUGAGAGGAGGAUCAGCCACACUGGAACUGAGACACGGCCCAGACUCCUACGGGAGGCAGCAGUGGGGAAUGUUGCGCAAUGGGCGAAAGCCUGACGGAGCAACGCCGCGUGAGGGAUGAAGGCCUUCGGGUCGUAAAACUCUUUUGGUAGGAAAGAACAUGUGUGUGCGAAACUGGGCCGAUCAUGACGGUACCUGAUGAAUAAGCAACGGCUAACUACGUG
rnacentral:rRNA from 1 species